ACGCUCGACACCUACGAGGCAGCAGUGGGGAAUAUUGCACAAUGGGGGAAACCCGUGAUGCAGCAACGCCGCGUGAAGGAAGACGGUUUUCGGAUUGUAAACUUACUGUUCUUAGUGAAGAUAGUGACGGUAGCUAAGGAGCAAGCCACGGCUAACUACGUGCCUGCAGCCGCGGUAAUCUGAGCGGGCUGGCAAGGC
rnacentral:rRNA from 1 species